UUAUUUUGCUAUUGGUUGGCUUCCCAGGGGCAAAGGAGGAAAAUAACUGACAAGCAGGGCGAUCCUGUCCUUAUCAUGGACAUUGAAAAACUUAUAUCUUUGAAAGAGGAACGCCCUGCUCUUUGGGAUGCCUCCGACCCCCUACAUGCUGAGAAGACCUACAGCCUAUGGGAGGAAGUGUAUGCACACGAGUCCAACCUGGGAGGACCUUUCAAUUCAUGUGAAAAGUGCUAUAGCAAAACGAAGACGAAAUGGAACAGCAUCCGGGACAGACACAUGCGGCAUCUGCGCAAGGAGGUGUGCGUACCCAGUGGUUCUGCACAAUCAAAAAAAAAACAAAAUAAAGUGUUCUGUCUGGAAGAACGCUGCAAAAUUGUCUCUUAUCCGCAUGACCGCUACAGUUGAUCAUCCGAGUGCGUCCUGCAGACCAGGUAGAGUUGACUCCUCUUCAUCCUGCAGAGAGGCUCCUUGGUGAGGAUGUAGUUGUAGCUGCUGUCUUCACCACUUGAUCCACAAUGGCUGGGGACAAUUGGAACUGCUGAAUAAAGAUCCGGCAUUUGGAUGUCAAAAUGCCA